rnacentral:rRNA from 1 species
GACGAACGCUGGCGGCGUGCUUAACACAUGCAAGUCGAACGGAAAGGCCCUGCUUUUGUGGGGUGCUCGAGUGGCGAACGGGUGAGUAACACGUGAGUAACCUGCCCUUGACUUUGGGAUAACUUCAGGAAACUGGGGCUAAUACCGGAUAGUAGCUCCUGCUGCAUGGUGGGGGUUGGAAAGUUUCGGCGGUUGGGGAUGGACUCGCGGCUUAUCAGCUUGUUGGUGGGGUAGUGGCUUACCAAGGCUUUGGCGGGUAGCCGGCCUGAGAGGGUGACCGGCCACAUUGGGACUGAGAUACGGCCCAGACUCCUAAGGGAGGGAGCAGUGGGGAAUAUUGCACAAUGGGCGGAAGCCUGAUGCAGCAACGCCGCGGGCGGGAUGACGGGCUUCGGGUUGUAAACCGCUUUCAGCAGGGACGAAGCUGUUUGUGACGGUACCUGCAGAAGAAGCACCGGCUAACUACGUG